rnacentral:lncRNA from 1 species
AUGGUGGCAAACACUUGGAAUUUACUACCCUUAGAAGUAGCACUGUUUGAAAAGAUAAAGUUCUUUAAGAAUUUGGGUAAGUCUAUGGGUGAGAGAGCAAGAGGGAGUCUUCAGAGAUGGGAGGGUGCUCUAGAGGCAGCCCCACCCAUAAGGGACAAUCACACCCACCCUCAGUUCUUCUGUCAGAGACAGAGUGUUAGACAAGCAUCCAGGUGGAUCAUGGACGAGCUCAGGACAGGUCUCAACAAUGUUGUGAGAAUAAACCAAGGAGAUCUGCUGGUAAUAUGAUCCUUCAGUUCUUUUUCGGAAAAAGAGGCAACAGCUGUCCUGUCACAAAUGGAGGCACCAUCCUUUCUGUUUGCCCCUUGGGGACCUUCCACCAUGGAAAGAACAUGCCCCAGUUCUUGGGAUUCCUUCAGCCUGGACUCAAAAAUGAGAUACAUGAAGCAGACUUGAGCUUGACCCACAGCUGAAGCAGAACCACCCCAGCCACCUCUCAAAGCUGCGAGCCACAAAUAAAGGCUUAUUUUGUUUGCCUCGCA